rnacentral:rRNA from 1 species
UACGUAGGUGGCAAGCGUUGUCCGGAUUUAUUGGGCGUAAAGAGCGUGUAGGCGGCCAGAUAGGUCCGUUGUGAAAACUGGAGGCUUAACCUCCAGCGGUCGAUGGAAACCAUCUGGCUAGAGUCCGGAAGAGGAGAGUGGAAUUCCUGGUGUAGCGGUGAAAUGCGCAGAUAUCAGGAAGAACACCCGUGGCGAAGGCGGCUCUCUGGGACGGUACUGACGCUGAGGCGCGAAAGCGUGGGGAGCGAACAGG